AGAAGUUUAGUUAAAAUAUAACAAAGGUCUGUCAGUCCAAUAUUGUGACAUUUAGUCACAACUUCUU
rnacentral:tRNA from 1 species